AUAUUCCACAGAGCCGCCUAGGCCGCCUAGGCGGGCGCCGAGCGCCUAGGCACUGCCUAGCCCGAUUUGUCGAAAAUUUCCUUGUGAUUCUUUAUGUUAUCGGCUUGAUCUUGCCUUUUCUGUUGCCUACGUCAAUUCUGGUCAAGCAUGGAAUUGAAAAUUGUCGUUGAUGUUGUCUGCUAAAGAACAAAUAGCAUGCGAAGAUCACCUGUUAGACCCUUUUGUUGAGAACUUCGUACUAGAAAUCAAAGUCCACUUUGGCAUAUAUUGAACUUAUGCACAUGUGGUAUGCUCUGGAUUUAGCUGUUCUUGCGGUUGGAGUGAUGAAGGACCAUGCCUGGUGAAGUUUCCUGUUUUCCUUUGAAAUAUCAUGAUGGCGAAUGUCAUAAGUUCGCUUUUAAAUAUGGACGAUCUUUCUCUCAAUUUGGCUCAUUGUGCCUCACCUUGGAGCUAUUCUGAAUCGCAUUACACAUGUGCAUCAGAGCAAACUGAUCUAACACGUGAAGAAGGAAACAAAUUAGUUGUAUUUUUCACAGGGAACUACUUGAUAUAUUACAUCACUGUCUUCCUUCAACUAUAAGUUUAUAACUGAACUAGAUCAUGCUGGCGUAAGUAGGGGUGGAAACAAGCAUCGGAGUGGAGAGUGUUGAUUGCUAAACAUUUCAUUGACGAGUGGGAAUGGCAGUUGUCGAUUUUGCAGCAUCUUCUUUCAUUAUCUGAACGCCAGUGGCAGUGGAAAGAGGCAUUAACUGUAUUACGUCCCGCACCAUCUAAGCUACUUAACUUGUGUGCUGCAUCAAGGAUGAAGCCUCCCCUAAAGAAAGAAACAUCAAUGAAGCUUUAGUUACCCACUUCCAAGGAGCAUCUUGAGCAGGAAGAUUCGAAGGCUUUAGACUGAAACUAGCAAAAAUAUUCACGAGAUCUCUUUCUUCACUGUCUGCAUGAUUAUGUUCAACAACACAAGUGUUACCACAUAAAGGAAGGAAGGUAGGUUCAAUAAAUGACAAGAUAACAAAAUUACCAACCACAGUCACAACUGUGCUACACCUCGAUUGGAGUCAGUUAAAAUUGCAGGGUUAUAAAUUGAAGUGCUGGUACACCUCGACUUACCAACAUGUUAAUACCAAUGUUCGAAAAAUCACUAUGCAGUAAGGGGGCUACAGGCAAAGGCCCAACACCUAGAGGAGUAAUUG